rnacentral:sRNA from 1 species
ACAUGAGAAGUAAUCCAAUUCUGUCACUCAGUUUAUUACCAGGGUUAAUGUGGCUGAUCCCAUUGGCACAAGAGUAUCUCACUCUCUGCCUUCACUGCUCCUGUGUGUCUCUCCCAAAACUAUGUCUUCAGGGAAAGAUGUGAGAGGAGGAUCCUUAUUUGGUUAAGGGAACAUGAUUAGCUGCAUUUUCCUACAUGUAUCUCUUUGCAGGAAAUAGAAUUAGUGUCAAAGAACAAACAGGCAAUUUUGCCACAUUAACCAGAGGGU